rnacentral:rRNA from 1 species
UGGGGAAUAUUGCGCAAUGGGGGAAACCCUGACGCAGCGACGCCGUGUGAGGGAAGAAGGCUUUCGGGUCGUAAACCUCUGUCAGAAAGGAAGAACCUCCCAAGUCCGAAUAGGGCUUGAGACUGACGGUACUUUCAAAGGAAGCACCGGCUAACUCCGUGCCAGCAGCCGCGGUAAUACGGAGGGUGCAAGCGUUAAUCGGAAUCACUGGGCGUAAAGCGCGCGUAGGCCGCUUUGUAAGUCGGACGUGAAAGCCCUCGGCGCAACCGGGGAACGGAGUUCGAUAGUGCGAGGCUUGAGUCCUGGAGAGGGUGGCGGAAUUCCGGGUGUAGGAGUGAAAUCCGUAGAUAUCCGGAGGAACACCGGUGGCGAAGGCGGCCACCUGGACAGGUACUGACGCUGAGGCGCGAAAGCGUGGGGAGCAAACAG